GUAUGAGAGAGGAUCUCGUGCUGUGUCAGCAAGCUUCCUGCCCAUCGUGGCACACUGUGCCUAUGGAUGCUGCUGCCGUUGCUGAGAGGUGCCAUAGAAAAAGGAUUCUUUCUCUCAGGAUGGAGUAGGUAUUUCAAAGCACCCAAAUCCCUGGUGCUGUGCGCACAGAUAGCAAACAAAGUGAUACAGUCAUUCUGCAUGUCUUGACGCCGAAGUAUAGGUGAAUAAUGGGAAGGCUGGCAGAGUGCUCUAAUGUGAUAAGUUACAGUAAUACAGCCAUACCGUUAUGAAGAUAACAAUGCAAAAGAAACCAACAAAUAUCAAAGCCAAAGCAGAGAAUAUCUUAAAUGCUGGCUGUGGAAAGCUGCUGCUGUGACUGUAGGAGAGAACACAGCCCUACAUGGCGCUCACUGGGAGGGCUGUAUGCACAGUGUGUGCACAGGUAGACGGCCCCGCAGCCAGUGCUGGGCCAUAGAAGCAGUUCUGCUUUUCUCUUUCUUCUUGUAGCUUUUGAGCGAGUUCUAGAAAAUAGCUGAGGCAAUAUGGAAGGAGAGAAAGACUGAAAUAAACAUUGAUUUUUACAGUGUAAUAAUUUAUGGUACCAACUUAAUAAGUGGUGCGACACGAACAGUUCACCAUCCAUUUAUCAUGUGUUGAUAGUUUUUGAUAUGUGAAUUUUUAACACCACUGCUCCCUUUGAUAUAAUAAAGGACCUGCCAACAUUCCCAUUAAAAACAUUAGAUUUUAGGACUUCCUGCUCUGGCUAUCAAUAGCAGUAUAUGUAAGCUAUGAAUUAAUAUGCAGAAUAGCAAUAAGCAAUGACUUAUUCCAGCAGCUAUAAAAAAUACAAAUACAAAAGAGACUUUGACAUUUCUGAACUUCAGGAGGACAUCCUCUUCCUUCCAGAAGAAAAGGCUGAUGAGCCCUUCUCAUGACAUCCACCAUAAAAGGUUUACAAAUGAAGAGACGGCUCCUGAACUUUAAUAAAUCAGCUUAAUUCCUUAGAUAACAAUAAGGAGACAGCAAUUUACAUUAAAAUGUUCUGAUGAGAGUUGUCUUGAGCUGCAGUUUGCUGGCAUAACAUCUCCAGGCUAAUCACAUAUACUUUCAGUAGCUACAGUGUGGUUAAAGUCAGGGAAAUGGAUGUACAAAAAUAGCAUCUGAGAGCCCAUGUUUGUUCUCAGCUGUUCCAUCUCAAGGACUCCCCAGACCAUUUUGGCCAGCAUAGAGGUCACAUCUGAGUCUGGUGACUGCAAGCCUUUCAACUGGGCUUCAGAUAAUAGCAUCAAGUCAAAUUAUUUCUGCUUCUCACAUCACCUUCGUCUGAAUCAUAAGAAAAGAUCACACAACAAAACAGCUCUGAAACAGAACAAAGAAAUCUGACAUUCUUUAGCUGUCUGACUUCACCAUACCAUCUGCAAGCAGCCCGGCUUGACAGUGAAAUCAUACACACACAUUUCAAGUAGUUAUGAUAGACGUCAAGGUUGUCCAUACUUGCUUUAUUUAGUGAAACCCACUUUAAAGAAGGUGGAUGCUAAUGAUUUCCAACAUACGGCUGUUUUAGCUAACAAGUUUUUGGAAUGCUGGAACUUCUUCAGGAUAUCUCUGGACCACAGUCCUGCGAGCUCAGUGCUCAGGGUUAGGUCCUACUGUCAGUGAGCAAUAGUGGGCUUCUUUACUGUUCUGCCUUAUGGGCCGAGGGAGCAUGUGGAGGCAAGAGUGUUUUCAUUAAAUGCCUUCUCAAUAGUCUUAAGCUGUAGUGCUUGUUCUAAUAAAAAUACCUAUGGGAGAAUUUACAGCUUCUGCUUCCACCAACAGCUACAACGUGGUUAUUAAGCCGUGCAUUGGGAAUGCAAACGGAGCACCUAGCAGCAAAAAGGCUGCAUCAGUCAUCAUUUCAUCACACAGCUGGGUGUUGCCAGGGCCAGGCCUUCACUUGGCUAUUCAGGGAACAUUACUGUACAGCCAUUUAAUUGACUAGUUCAGAGAGCAGUCUGCACUAAAUGAACUGUCCAGCUUCUAAGCCUGAAAGGUUCAGCCUCCCCUCCAUCCUUUCCAGAAUGCACACGAAAACCUCUACUGAACGAAGACUCAGAAAUGGUCUCACCUUCCUGCCGUGCUAUCUUAAAGAGCCAUAAAAAGACAGACAUGGAGAAGAUAACUUAUGAAUAAUAGGGUAGGACUGAAAAAUAAGUUAGUUGUGUUAAAUUCUAUUUAUAUCCACAGUUUGUCAGGGAUUGCAAUAAAAAGAGUUUAUGAUUUUGUUUGUCUUACCCAAGAUUGUAGGGGUUUAAUGUACCAUUUUGGAGUUGUUAAGCAUUUUCAUUGUGACACUUGAUCUCUGUGUUUAUACUUUAUUACUGCAGAUUGCUUACAGAGGGGAGAGGGAACUGUGAAAUUUCCAAAGAAAUUACAGUUUGUUGCUUUUUCAGUAACUGGAUCAUUUAAAAGCUCCCUUUUUAGUAAGAAAUAAUGACUCACUUUAUUUAGAGACUAUUUAAAAUGCUCUUGAGGUAUCUAUUGGAUAUCUCAAAAUAACAGAUAAAUCAGUAGCAGACUUAAAAUUAGUCUUACACUGUUAUAUUUUACAAUAUUUUCUAUAUUAUGAUCCACAUUAUACAUCUCUUGCAUGUUAGGAAGAGAGAAAUCUGUUUCCAAAGCUGUUCCUGGCAUAACCAGUCUUACCCCCCAAAAAACCUGCCAGGAUUUGUCUUUGCAGCACGAACUUGGUUUAUUUGGGUGGUUGUGGAUGGCCUCUGAUAGGCCAGAGCUCAUUUCAACAGUGUUUUCCUCUUUCAGUGUUGAAGAGGAAUUACAGUAGAGAGGUGGUUGUUCAUCUGAAUUUCCAACUAAUUAAACUGACCUAAUACCUGUCAAAAAUAAUUAGGAUAAAAACUGCUUUCUUAAAGCAACUCUUUCAAGGUGGGAAGCCAGUACUGAGGGAUGGAUGCCUCGUGCAUUGGGCACUGAAACAAGUGUGGCAGUGGAGUUGUGCUCCCUGAGCAUCUUCUGCAGCUUCUGUUGGGAUUCUCCAUCCCAGGAAAGGACUUGUCCAUCUUUGGAAUGACAAGAGACUGCUUGGGGUCUGUUACUGUUCUGAUGAUGGACACAGCUAUGAGGAUUCACUGAAACUCCCAAACCAGUGUGGGCAAACAGCUGGUCCUGAAUCAGAAAGCAGUUUUGUUGGAAGCUCAACUCCAGGUUUGAGCAGAUCUGCAGGGUUAAUUCCAGACAGACUCUGUGAGGAAGGCACAAGUGCCUCAUUGCUUUUACUGAUAGAGAACCUCAGUUACCUUCUGCUUAACAGGAGUGGCUGUGGGUACGGGGACAAAUCCCAGUGUCAGCUCUCCAGACUGUCCCAACCGCCAGCACCGCAACGCUUUAUCUUCUUUGGCCUUGAACCUUGUUAUUCAAAAUAACAUAUAAUAGUAAAGGAGCAUUUUGAGUGAUUUUGUUAGAAAUACAUCAGGCUGUCUAACAGUUUAUUGGCAUCAAUAAUUCCCUAUUAAGCCCUCUACACCCAUUAUGGUUUGUGCUUCCACUUUUUUUCCGUGUUAGUUUCCAGGCAACCAGCAAGAACUGAAUUACAUUAAGCUAUUAAUUCAGGACUGCACGCCAGCUCGGGCUUCUUCUGCUGAUUUGCUCCUCUCACAUGCAAGUUUCCUCAUAAAAAAACCCUUUUUUAUUGGUUUAAUCUUCAGUGACACUCAGUCCAGAGAACUGAUUUGAAAAUUGCCGUGCUGAGCCUGAUUUUUGUUUCUUGUUUGUUUGGGUUUUUUUAUGCUUGCUGGUGAGGUUUGUUCUGGGUGUAGGAUAAAGCAGAAGUCUGUGAGGAGGGGUUGAUGUUAGCCACCAUAGAUACAGCUAGAUACGGUUUUCUUUAAUGCUGUGUAAGACAUGAGCUCAUACUGAAAUCUUGCAUGGCGAGAACAUCUCUGUUAUCAUUAAAGAGAAGUAGUUUCCAUGUUUCGCUCCAUCACUAAAUGCCUGUAGCACUGGGAAAGGCACUGGCUCCAGACCCAGCUGAAAGCAAUAUCUGCAGGUGGGACAGAGAUUUGGAGACAAAAUUUGGUAAUGCCUAAUGACUAUGAGCCCUGAAAUCCAACUUAUGCUCUACAUUGAGUUACCAUCUAUUUUAUUGUGAGGCCAGGAAUGUCAUUACCCAUUUCACAACCUAUAUUCAGUAGGGACAAGCACAGACUUCAGGUACUUCUACUGUCUUUAUCUCAGCCUGUUUAUUGGUGCCUGUGAGUUGAAGAGGUCUGUGAUACAAGAGCUGGUGAAAUACAGAGAGUCCACAAUUAGAGUAAUCAACCUUAAUGAAAAGAAUUUGUCUUCACCCACAGCCAAAAAUAACAACAAACAAGUGAUAAAUAAGUAAAUACCAUAUGAGACCGAAACCAAAACAAGACACCAUUUCAGAUAAGGAUUCUAUGGCCUGUAAAAUAGUUGAGCUAGACAGAAUUUUAAAAACAGUGAUGUGUUUUUUUUCCUAAUUAAUUUUAAAUAAACCACUGUUUUGAGCUGUUUUCAGUUUUAUAGAGGUCUGUCAUAAGAGUUUGAAUCAUUGCAAUUCGGACCAUGAAUGUUAACCAUUACUUCAUGAAACUUAACUGGAAAAACCUCUAAAGGGAUGUUUUCUGUUUGUAAGGAAGGUGCAUAUGAUCUAUGCUUUUCUCUGUUGGAAGACGCCAUCAGAAGCUGUACUGCUAAAAAGGAUUUUUAUGCCUCAUCGGUUGCUCAGUUAUCUUGGAGCAGUUAUACUGAGCAGACUAAUUUUUUGUUCCCCAUUCCAUUGAUCCUAUGGUGUAAGUGCGGCCAUCCUGAGGGCGUGAGCUUCUAUCACCAUACCCAAACCCUGUGGUAAACAUGUUCAAUCUAAUCACGUUCUCUGUUUCUGGGACAUAUUUUAUUAAACGUUUUCAUCACUUUCAACCCUCAACAGAUUUAUUUCUGCAAUUAGAGGACUUGCUAUUUACCAGGAGAAACAAUGCUGGCAAAAAGACACCUUGCAGCAACGUAACUCAAAUGAGUUACCACUAAUUUCACAUUAAUAACACAACUAAUUCCUUUUCUACAGGUUAGGAACGUGCCCCAUGUCAGAAACCUUUGGAAGCAUUUCAGAAAUACUGAAAUGUGGCAGUCCAGUUAAAUAUGAUCAGAUGUAUAAGAGAAUGAAAAGAGAAGUUGCCAAUGAAUCAAAUAACAAAAACAGCCCAAAGUGUUUGUCUGGGACCCCAGACCAGGAUUCAUCUACAUUUAUGGAAUGCAAUCCAUGACCUGCAGGUUGGGUACUCAGUGUCCAGUCCGACCUGCACCUCAGAGGCUCCACACUGCACUUCUGGUAGAGCUAAGCUGGGAAGGAAGUUUCAUAGCAGAUGUUUUGUAGUGAAAGACACCCAGUCUCCAAACAGUAGAUGUGCUUUCCAGCCCAGCAGAGGUCUUCUGAGGUAUCUCCUUGCCUUUUCAAUUGACAUGGGUCCCACUUUUUGUGUCUACCUUUGCUUUAGGGACAGCACACUCACAAGGUGUCCUGUUACUUCUGGUAGCAGGAUCUGACCUGCUGUUCCUUGCUGGGAUUGCUUAACCCAGUGUUCAUAAUGUUAUUUGUGUGGAAGUUUGUGAAAAUCCAGUCCUUUAUUAAACAGGUAUUUAACAGAUGCUCAGUGACACGCAGCAGCCCAGUUUAGCAUCCCUUCCAAAGUGCACUGUGUGCAACUGGAAGAACUCCUUAUUUUACAAAUUACCUUAAAAAUUCAAAACAGCAGUAUGAAAUUCCAUCACAUUUAGUGCCACUGAUUGUGGAGGCCCUCAAAAAACCCAGCUCCAGAUUUUCCCCUCUGUGAAGCUGCCUUGUGAAUAACAAAACCUGCAUUGUUCUUGGGUGUUCUUCUGAAUUUAUUUUCUGUCAUCUUCUUAAGGAAAGAAAAUACAGCUUCUCUCACUUCGCACCCUUUGGGACAGCAACCGCAGAUGAAGAGCAAGCAAUCAACAUGUCAGGAUAAAAUUAGAUUGCCACAGAGAACAGGGUUUGAUCCAAUAUCUGUAUCAGAUUUUGUUCUUGGCUGUUCACAUGGCAAUAAAAUACUUUUUGUUUGUUGCCCACAAACAUGCUCCAAGAGCAGCCCCAUCACACCCCACAGGCACCCAACCCAGAGCAGAGCCAGCCCCGAGGCAGGUACAGCUGCUCCACAGUCCUGGUCCUACAUGCCAAGCUGCCCCUAUGGAGCAUCUUCAUGGGGCACGGGCUGCAACUGCUGCAAUGCAGCUUGCAUAUAACCCACCUACAUGCUGACAUCCCUUCGUCUAAGUCAUUUCAAGAGUUAAUAGUAUUUCUUUCUGUUUUGUUGUAAAAAGCAGAAAUAUUGAAAAUGUACAGUUGCAAAUUUCUGAUUUGGAUCAGAAAGUUUGCUUUAGUUAACCUGAAGCAUCUAAACUAACUGAGGAUUAAAUCAAUUUUUUCUUGGGUGUACAAUAUGCCCAUGGACUUGAUUUAGCAGCGGGUCAUUGAAGUAAGGGUACUGUGGUUAGGCUGAGGUUGGGCUUGAUGGUCUGGAAGGUCUUUUCCAACCUGAUCAGUUCUAUGGUUCUAUGGUUCUAUACUGAUACACACAAGCUCUCUUCCUAUAUCACCUGUGGCACACUCAGUCAGUUAAGGGAUUUAACCUUGUUCUGCUUGUACUCAGAUGCAGGAUUCAUGUGAGGAGACUGCAAGGAUGUCCUCUGCCUCUGUGUUAUUUCAGUCCUCAGACCUGCUCUUGCUGCUCUGUCAGUGGCUUUCAAAUUAAUGAUCUGAUCUUUAAAAUUAAUGAGUUUUCAUUGACCUCCGUGGAAGUGGAUCAGAUCUGAGCCUGUCAGCCUGCCUGGCACUUCUCAUCAGAGCUGGAUCUGGAAGCAGCUCACCUACUUUUACAACCAAGCCCAGCACCUCUGAGCACAUCGCCUGAAGCCACAUCCUUCUGAUCUCAUUAAUUUAGCCAUGUGUGUCCUGCUGCUCCAGGCCAAAGGGUUUUUAGUAAUGAGAAUUUUGGUUUUGUUCAGCAGUUGCUUCAAGUUAUUUGGGGUUCCUUUCCAUGUCAGUUUAGCUCCAGAAACCUGCCUGGCAAGCUUGUAUUAGCUCAGGAUUUCCUGGGAGAGGAAAUUGAGCAUCUAUAUUUUCCCAGUCCCUAAAUGAGAUUUGAAAAAUCUCAUUUCAAUAAUUACAAUAACAAAGAAUCCCAUAAAACAAAAAUAAUAAUAAUAAGUGGAUUAGCACAUGGGGGAUGGAGACCUUUACAGACACGGCAAAAUAUUUGCUUUUCCUGUGGAAAACGUAGCAAAUCUUGAAGAAGAAGUGCUCAGAAACUGCUAGGCUGUCACUUGGGACAUGGAAAUCUCAAUAGCUCAAAUCUCAAUCUCAGUGAUGAGCACAGCCUGCAGCACAUCUUGAUUUGGUUUAAACAUGCUUUCAUAUGGCUGUGAUGGACAGGCAGAAGGAGCUGGGAGAGGAGCAGCGGGUGGGGAAGGAGGGCUGUGCCAUCAAGAACAGGGCAGGGACCCCCAACCAGUGCUAAACCUCAUAAACCAGACACAAAUUCUGCCCUGGGAGGAGCACCACAAGAGCCCCAAAAGCAAGGAGAAGCAUCUGCAUCCCUAUCAAAAGGACACAACCAAGAGACCUUAAAAAUGAAGAAUGCUCAUGAUUUCUGUCAUAAAAUGUUCUAACGUGACCUCACAACCUAAUUUCUACAGCCAUUGGAGUAGUGAGAAUUACAUAAGAUCCUUGCUAUUUGUUUUAUGUGAUGCUUAACUCGUAUCCUCAAUGAUUCAUUAUUAAGAUUUGUCAGAACUAAUUAAGAUGAGUGCCAGCUGUGAUAGUGUUUGAUGUCACGGCACCUUGCUCCACGGAGUGCGACCGAGGUGGCUCGGAGCAUGCAGUCAGCUAAUAGCAAGCAGUGCUGGGCAGCUGGUGGCCAGCCUCAUCCGAGCUGCUCACAGAGGUGAAGCUCUUUAGCAGCCCCUGGGGAUGUGGUGCUUCUGUGUAUGACAUUCAGUUUUCAGUAACUCUAUUUAAAACAAAAAAUCAUCAUCAACAAAGAGAAAAUUAAGUUACACAUACAACUUUCUGUCGUGCAGCAAACCAACACUCUUUAUUUAAAUAAAAGCAAGUAAAUACCAAAAAUAGCAUAAGUUUUAAAGUCAGGAAGGGUGAAGAUGCAGUUUUGGUUACGGCUUUGACUGUGAAUUUCAAUUCUGAUGUGAGCUCUCUGGUGGGCCCCCCUGCAAGCAAGUUGCCAACUAAACCUCUCUGGCCCUGCUUUCAUACAGGUGAAGUUAAUCACGACAUAACCAAUGUGCAGCUGUGUACUCACUGCUCCUAAACAA